rnacentral:rRNA from 1 species
CGGACUGGAGUCUGCAACCCGACUCCACGAAGCUGGAUUCGCUAGUAAUCGCGCAUCAGCCACGGCGCGGUGAAUACGUUCCCGGGCCUUGUACACACCGCCCGUCAAGCCAUGGGAGCCGGGGGUACCUGAAGUGCGUAACCGCGAGGAGCGCCCUAGGGUAAAACUGGUGACUGGGGCUAAGUCGUAACAAGGUAUC